rnacentral:rRNA from 1 species
UACGUAGGUGGCAAGCGUUGUCCGGAUUUAUUGGGCGUAAAGCGAGCGCAGGCGGUUCCUUAAGUCUGAUGUGAAAGCCCACGGCUCAACCGUGGAAGGUCAUUGGAAACUGGGGAACUUGAGUGCAGAAGAGGAGAGUGGAAUUCCAUGUGUAGCUGUAGAAUGCGUAGAUAUAUGGAGGAACACCAGUGGCGAAGGCGACUCUCUGGACUGUAACUGACGCUGAGGCUCGAAAGCGUGGGGAGCAAACAGGAUUAGA